rnacentral:rRNA from 1 species
UGGGGAAUAUUGCACAAUGGGGGAAACCCUGAUGCAGCAACGCCGCGUGAGUGAUGACGGCCUUCGGGUUGUAAAGCUCUGUCUUCAGGGACGAUAAUGACGGUACCUGAGGAGGAAGCCACGGCUAACUACGUGCCAGCAGCCGCGGUAAUACGUAGGUGGCGAGCGUUGUCCGGAUUUACUGGGCGUAAAGGGAGCGUAGGCGGACUUUUAAGUGAGAUGUGAAAUACCCGGGCUCAACUUGGGUUCUGCAUUUCAAACUGGAAGUCUAGAGUGCAGGGGAGGGGAAUGGAAUGCCUAGUGUAGCGGUGAAAUGCGUAGAGAUAUGGAGGAACACCAGUGGCGAAGGCGGCUUCCUGGUCUGUAACUGACACUGAGGCGCGAAAGCGUGGGGAGCAAACA